AUGAUAACUGCAACAAACACCGUUGGUGAUGAAACUUCAGUGCUACUUGUUGUUAGCCUGGUUGUAGUUGGAAGAAUGGUAGUGUUCAUUGCUGCGGUGGUGACAUUUGGAGCAACAGAUGUAGCGCUAGGGGCUGCCGUUGUAGCAUUGGACACAGCAAUUGUUGCGUUGGUUGCUACUGUUGUAGCAUUGGAAGCUGAGGUGGUGGCAUUUGGAGAAACAGAUGUAGCAUUGGGGGCUGAGGUUGUAGCAUUGGACACAGCAAUUGUAGCAUUGGUUGCUACUGUUGUAGCAUUGGGAGCUGAGGUGGUGGCAUUUGGAGCAACAGAUGUAGCGUUGGGGGCUGCGGUUGUAGCAUUGGACGCAGCAAUUGUUGCGUUGGUUGCUACUGUUGUAGCAUUGGAAGCUGAGGUGGUGGCAUUCGGAGCAACAGAUGUAGCAUUGGGGGCUGCGGUUGUAGCAUUGGACGCAGCAACUGUUGCAUUGGUUGCUACCGUUGUAGCAUUGGAAGCUGAGGUGGUGGCAUUCGGAGCAACAGAUGUAGCAUUGGGGGCUGCGGUUGUAGCAUUGGACGCAGCAACUGUUGCGUUGGUUGCUACUGUUGUAGCAUUGGAAGCUGAGGUGGUGGCAUUUGGAGCAACAGAUGUAUCAUUGGGGGCUGCGGUUGUAGCAUUGGACGCAGCAAUUGUUGCAUUGGUUGCUAUUGUUGUAGCAUUGGAGGCUGAGGUGGUGGCAUUUGGAGCAACAGAUGUAGCGUUAGGGGCUGCCGUUGUAGCAUUGGACGCAGCAAUUGUUGCAUUGGUUGCUACUGUUGUAGCAUUGGAAGCUGAGGUGGUGGCAUUUGGAGCAACAGAUGUAUCAUUGGGGGCUGCGGUUGUAGCAUUAGACGCAGCAAUUGUUGCAUUGGUUGCUAUUGUUGUAGCAUUGGAGGCUGAGGUGGUGGCAUUUGGAGCAACAGAUGUAGCAUUGGGGGCUGCGGUUGUAGCAUUAGACGUAGCAACUGUUGCAUUGGUUGCUAUUGUUAUAGCAUUGGAGGCUGAGGUGGUGGCAUUUGGAGCAACAGAUGUAGCGUUGGGGGCUGCGGUUGUAACAUUUGGGGUAAUUCCUAUUGUUUCUGUUGAAAUAGAAAAAGAUUGUGAAAUCUCAAUAAAAAAGUGAACACAUCCAAGCUGUUAUUUAGCAUUGGAAACAUUUUGUGGUUGCAAAGUUCUCGUUCUGCUCAUAAGAAAGGUAUGAAGUUAAGAUAGUCUUGUGGGAUGUUAAAGAGUAACUAAACCCUUGCUUUCUCCAGACCUGCCACCAGGAGGAAAAUUAAAAAAAAUGCCUUGAUUAUGGGCGGGGAUCCUGGAGCAGUUAAGACACGCCCAGUCUAUACUAUACAAUCUCCAAUGAACAAUUUAUGCUAUGUUAACUUGCUACUCACUACUCAAUAUACCUCUCUAUUCACUCUUCUCUCAAUCCAACCUACUCACCACAGAUUGUAGAGCCUGCAGGUGCUAGUUUUUAUGAAAGGGGCAAGGCUAUCAGUGCUUGUUUGUGACGCAAGAUGAUCCCAAAACAUCACAUGAUCUUGUUCUCAACCAAUAGCCCAGUUUCAACCCAUAGAGGGCCGUCACUCUGACAUUUUACAACCAAAUAUACCAAAUUAAAAUACUUUGAAAAAAAUGUUGAGAAAUGAAUCAGGAUCAAUCAACAGCACUACUUCAUACCCAAUUACAUUUGUAUUCAGCAGAAAAAAAGUGGUUUUGGGAUUCAGUUUUUCUUUAAAGAAGAAAAAUUGUGAAGCAGUGAUUCUCAUGAGUUUGAGACCCAACAUCAGCGCCUAAAAAAAGCUGUGAUCCAAUCACAGAUUUUUUUAAAUACAUUUUAACAAACUGGUUUUUAAAAAUGUGGUGCAUUUACAUAAAAUGUACAUUUCAUAAGACCACUGUUUGUCAUACCAGUGGCUGGGAAGGGAUUUGCAUUUUUUUUUUUUAAAUUGAAAGCCAACAGUUAAAUAAAAUCUUAAUUUUAUUUUUUAAUCCUGAGAAA
ensembl:lncRNA